rnacentral:lncRNA from 1 species
UUAAAAACCCCAGCCCUACUGCCUUUGCUGUAACACAUUCUCUCUUUGGGUCGAGGAACCAAAGAGAUCAGCACUGCAGAGCCAGGGAUGAACCACCCCCAUCCAUGCCUGGCCAGCACCAGGUGUGAGCCUCAGCAGGCAGGUGGAAAUGUGGGAUAUGUAUGGACGGCAGAGGCAGUGCAUACAGCAGGCUGUGUGACAGCGGUGGUUCUCCUCCCAGGGGACACGGGCAGCAGAACUGCUGGACUGCAGCUUACAGAUGGAUUCCUUCUUGGGAGCAAAGUACUCAUAAAGUGACUUUUCUUUAAACCUCAGAUGGUUUUAUUUGCUCUGCUGAAAUGAAGCAAGGUAUGUUGCUUCUUAUCUGAUCACUUCAGCAUUUUAAUUUAUGAAAUACAAGCAUAACUACACUUGCUUUCACUGUUGAUUAA